rnacentral:rRNA from 1 species
UGGCUCAGAUUGAACGCUGGCGGAAUGCUUUACACAUGCAAGUCGAACGGCAGCACGGGAGCUUGCUCCUGGUGGCGAGUGGCGAACGGGUGAGUAAUAUAUCGGAACGUAUCCAAUAAUGGGGGAUAACUAAUCGAAAGGUUGGCUAAUACCGCAUACGCCCUGAGGGGGAAAGCUGGGGAUCUUCGGACCUAGCGUUAAUGGAGCGGCCGAUAUCUGAUUAGCUAGUUGGUGGGGUAAAGGCCCACCAAGGCGACGAUCAGUAGCUGGUCUGAGAGGACGACCAGCCACACUGGAACUGAGACACGGUCCAGACUCCUACGGGAGGCAGCAGUGGGGAAUUUUGGACAAUGGGCGCAAGCCUGAUCCAGCCAUUCCGCGUGAGUGAAGAAGGCCUUCGGGUUGUAAAGCUCUUUCGCAAGGGAAGAAACGAUUUAGGUGAAUAAUCUAAGUUAAUGACGGUACCUUGAUAAGAAGCACCGGCUAACUACGUGCCAGCAGCCGCGGUAAUACGUAGGGUGCGAGCGUUAAUCGGAAUUACUGGGCGUAAAGCGUGCGCAGGCUGUUUUGUAAGUCAGAUGUGAAAUCCCCGAGCUCAACUUGGGAACUGCGUUUGAAACUACAAGACUAGAAUAGGUCAGAGGGGGGUAGAAUUCCACGUGUAGCAGUGAAAUGCGUA